rnacentral:rRNA from 1 species
UACGUGGGGUGCAAGCGUUGUUCGGAAUUACUGGGCGUAAAGCGCGUGUAGGUGGCUAAUUAUGUCAGGUGUGAAAGCCCUCGGCCUAACUGAGGAAGUGCGCCUGAAACUGAUUGGCUUGAGUACGAGAGAGGAGGACGGAAUUCCCAGUGUAGAGGUGAAAUUCGUAGAUAUUGGGAGGAACACCGGCGGCGAAAGCGGUUCUCUGGAUCGAUACUGACACUAAGACGCGAAAGCGUGGGUAGCAAACAGGAUUAGAUACCCUGGUAGUCCACGCCGUAAACGAUGGAUAUUAGUUGUUGCGAGUUUAACCCUCGCAGUGACGACGCUAACGCAUUAAAUAUCCCGCCUGGGGAGUACGGCCGCAAGGUUAAA